UCUGGGAAUCCCACAAAUAUAAUCUUCUUCUAUUGAUGUUCUGAGGCAUACUUCCUGUAAACUAAACUUCAGCAAAAGGAGCACAAGACGGAACAUCAAAUUCAACAAUUCACACAAUGAAUACAUGAAUUUCAUAUUCACAUUCUUUAGGAGCCAUGCAUGGAUGCAAGAAAUUUAUGCUGGAAGUAAUCCUUAUAUUAAGAAGCAGGAAGUAAUAGUUAAGCCCUCAAUGUAUUUUGUUUAAAAUACGUAAUUAAAAUAUUCACAGUGCAGAAGUUGACAGAACAGAAUUAAGUCAUGCACUUAAAAUAUUUUUAGUUCACCUUGUCCAAUAAAGCCCUUAAAACUGAAAACUUUAAAAAAAAAAAAACCUCUACCAGAAGAUGUUAUGAAAUCAAGACACCGGUUAUCAUUACUGUUGGGCACACACUGGAAUAUACAUAUUGAAUUUCUCAGUCUCAUUAAUUGCAAAAAUAAAGGGACAUCAGAACAUGUACAUUGGACAAAUAUGUUCCCAAAGCAUGGUGGCUGAUCAGUCAGUCAUAUAAGAUAAAAGCAGGUUCCCUGUCCAUUUCUAUGGGACAGCAAUAAAUAACAUUGUUCAGUGGCCUGAAAGUAGCACAAGGAGGUAAGAGCCUGGGUAUUCUAUAUAGCACCUACACAGACUUUCCCUCCAUAGAACAUUCAAUUUCAGUUUCUACACAAAUAAGUAAUUUUGAGGCUUGAUUGUUAUCAGUAAAGCACUGCACAGUUGAAAAAUGUACCAAGCACCAAGUUACUAUUUUGAGUUGACUGAAACUCCAUAUUCAUUGGUUUUAACUAUUAUUUUUGACUGAUAACAGGAAAAAAAUUAUUAGACACAAUUAACUGUGAAAGCUGGCAGAUAUUUCCAUGCUGUCAAUCUAUUUGUGUGUAUAGCAGUUCCUGUUUUGCUCUACCCAUUUUUAUCCUCACUUUUUGUCUGAAAAAGAGUACAUUAACCUUUAUGGCAGUCCAUCCAACACAAGCAUGUUUCAAAGCUGCAAUAAGCUACUUCUUUAUAUUAGGCAAAGUUGAGUUUUUUGUAUCCUGAGCAUUCACUGUUGAAUGAUAGCUUGGUAGCAUCCGUAAGCCCUCACUUUCACAACAAGCAGGUAGGAAAUGGCAAACUGUUUCACCAGAUAAAGACUAAUUUAAUGACUGGAGUAUGAUUUUAAUUAUUCCUUGAAAAAAAUAAAAAUGCAUGGUUUUGUUGCAGUCUAAGGCUAUGAUAUAUUAGGAUGCAGACUGCCUAUCUUUUAGGAAUGUUUCUUUUGUGAGCGAUCGCUGCAGACCAA